UACGAACCGAGCGAACGUUGUUCGGAAUCACUGGGCUUAAAGGGCGCGUAGGCGGGUGCUCAAGUCCGGGGUGAAAUCCUCCAGCUCAACUGGAGAACUGCCUCGGAUACUGGGUGCCUCGAGGGUGGUAGGGGUAUGCGGAACUAUCGGUGGAGCGGUGAAAUGCGUUGAUAUCGAUAGGAACUCCGGUGGCGAAGGCGGCAUACUGGACCACUUCUGACGCUGAGGCGCGAAAGCCAGGGGAGCAAACGGG
rnacentral:rRNA from 1 species